GCAGGGACAUCCCAGCACUGGAGCUGUCACCACGGGCAGGGACACAAAGUCCUGGUGUCCCCCAUGGUUCCAGAGGGAGGGAACGGGCCCUGGGUGUCACCCUCCAGGGCAGGACAGGGCCAUGGUGUGUCCCCAGCACUGCCAGCCCAUCCACAGCCCCAGUGUCCCCCGGGAUGGCUCUGUCCCCUCAAAGCUGUCACCUCCCAUUGCAGGACAGUGUCCCCAGCACUGCCAGUCCAUCCAGCACUCCCAGGGCUGGCUCUGUCCCCUCAAAGCUGUCACCUAUGGAGCAGCACAGGGCCAUGGUGUGUCCCCUUCACUGCCAGCCCAUCCACAUCCCCAGUGUCCCCAGGGAUGGCUCUGUCCCCUCAAAGCUGUCACCUCAAGGGGCAGGACAGUGUCCCCAGCUCUGCCAGCCCAUCCAGCACUCCCAGGGCUGGCCCUGUCCCCUCUGAGCUGUCACCCUCCAGAGCAGGACAGGGCCAUGGUGUCCCCAGCACUGUCAGCCCAUCCACAGCCCCAAUGUCCCCAGGGAUGGCUCUGUCCCCUCUGAGCUGUCACCUCCCAUUGCAGGACAGUGUCCCCAUCACUGCCAGCCCAUCCAGCACUCCCAGGGCUGGCUCUGUCCCCUCUGAGCUGUCACCCUCCAGAGCAGGACAGUGUCCCCAGCACUGCCAGCCCAUUCACAGCCCCAAUGUCCCCAGGGAUGGCUCUGUC
rnacentral:lncRNA from 1 species